rnacentral:lncRNA from 1 species
AAUAUAUCCAGUAAUUUUUCAGAAAAUAAUUAGACCCAGGUUGGACCUUUUUUUCAGGAGCAUGGACUAUCCUUCAAGUUGGAUGUGUACUUUUCACAUACAAGGAGAAGGGACAUUGCACCAAGAUUUUUGAAAACAUAUAAGAUCUGUUUCAAAUACUUGAAAUUAUUCUGUGCAAAAGCAAGACUUCCAGCAUUUAAAAAAUUUAUUACCUUUAAUAAGUGUGGAAGUUACUGUAAUUUAUGAAAAUAUUUACCCUCAUCAAAGUGUGCUACUAUCAUUAAUAAUGCAUAUUCUUUUAUUAAAUUAAAUAUAGCUCUUGUAUUAAUAUUGCAGGGACUAACAAACUAUUACUUCCUUUUUGCUUAUUUAACUAUGUAAAUAAGAACAAAUUUACUAGUCUUCUAUUUUAUAGAUGGGCAAAAACUCUUUUUCUUAGAUUCUGGCAAUCAUGGAUUAAUUAAUGAGAGAACUGAUAUACUGUAGUGUUAGAUUCCAGAAUUUUUUCCUAGAACUCUUAGCUCCUAUUAGGAACCAUCCUGAUAAAUUUCUGAAUACAUUUAAGUCAUACUACCUUAUAAAACUUAUCAGUGUCAAGGUAUUGAGUUUUAUUGGUCUGGUUUAUAUUAGUUUAGGUGAUCAUUUGCUUUCUUAUCUUUACAUUUAAUGGCUAGUUAAGUCCAAAAUUUCAUCUCUAAUUUGAGAAUGUUCUGGAAAGCAGUCUCUAAUGCUAGACAUUAUUCUGCUUUUUCAGCAUUUGUCGCUCCUUCUUGACCUUCUUCUGAGUUGUGCUUGCAUCUGCUAAUUGUUGGAGAAGCAUACACAGACAUGCUGUCUGCAUUUAAUUUGCAUUCCUAUUCCCUAAUUCAAGUGGGCCCUUAGUCUAGAAUUUUAAUUCUGCUCACUCCAAGGUGACUAUUUCAUACCUUGUCUAUUUUCAAAACUCUUAGCACUUGUCCCCCAUUGUCAUUCCCACCUUCAGCUUUAAUUUUUAUAGUAGGAGGAGUUCCCGUUGUGGCGCAGUGGUUAACGAAUCCGACUAGGAACCAUGAGGUUACAGGUUUGAUCCCUGGCCUUGCUCAGUGGGUUAAAGAUCCAAUGUUGCCGUGAACAAAAAAAAAUAAUAAUUUUUAUAAUAGGAAUGAACCUACAUAGAAUCUCCUGACCACAGGUGCUUCCCUUUUUAGAUUUACCCAUGUGGUUGCAUGUAUAACAAUGAAAAGUGAACUUACCCUCUGUCUUCUCUUCUGUGACUAUGAGUGCAUGGUCCAUGUUCCUUUCCACCCCUUGGCUUGUGAAGAUCCCAUCACCUCUACUUGCUUGAAGACCUUGACCUAGGCCUUUCCUCUCUUAUGUUUCAUCAGUCUUCCUGUCUACUUGGUAAUUCUUGCAAGUACAUAUGCCGACACACACACCUGUCUCACUUCACGCUUUAAAAACAAAAAGAAACGGAAUCCUUCCCAUCUCCAGUUGCAGCCCGGUGUGUAUCCUCUAUGACCAAAUUUAGCAGCAUUUCCAAACCAGCUGUCUUGUGCUUCUUCCCCAGUCUCUCUCUCAACUUCACUUCAUGUAAUCUGAGGUGACAACUGCCCUCCUGGGUGGCGUCAGAUCCAGUGGAUGUGAGAAGAGUCUACCUCACUUUAUCAGCAGCAUUUGAAACAGUGCCCCUUCCUCUGUUCUGCCUUGUUCUCUUUGGCUUUGGAGACCACAAGAAUGCCCUGGACCUUCUCCUGUCAGUUCAUUUCUCUCCUCCUCAAAUGAGCCACUAUCCACAUUUUUAUACUAAACCCUUCCUAGCUUUUCCGGCUCACCAUGGAGUCCUAAAAAUUAUCCUGAGGUGGUACCUGUUUUUUGAACUUUAUAAGUUGGGUUGUAUAGAAGGCAUUUUUAGUUGUCAGUUUCUUUUAUUCAACAUUGUAUUUGCUGCACCACAUUGUAAGUGGGUGUGAUGCUCAUUUUCAUUGCUUAAUUCUCGUCCACUGUGCAAAUACAUCCCGCAUGGGCUGGUACAGGACUCAGUUUCUGCACUGGUCCACAGCUGUGUCCUGCGUGGCUCUCAAGCUGGGUGGCCUGUGUGGGUGGGCAGCAUUCUUGAUGUUCUUAGGGCUACCCCAGGUGGUGAGAAGGAUGCUGUAGCCACACCCUGCCCUGACUGGUCCAGUCUGGCUUAAGCUUUCCUGGUUGCUGCUUAGAGAAACUGCUGACUUGGCUUGUAAGUGGGAGGAGUUUAUGGCUCAUCUUGAUAGAGUUUGGCUCAGUGGAAGAUAGAGAAGAGGAGAAGCAGAAGAGUUGUUUUUCCAACCACCAGUACACGUAUAGGUGAGGACAUGGUGGUUAGAUGGCAUAUCUGAGGCCAUCCUGGGAAACCGAGGCAUCAACUACUUUGCCGCCUGCUGGAGGCCAGCUCCAAAACACCCCCCAUGCAUCCUCCUCUUCCCUGUGUCAUCCCUUCUGCACAUGAUCCUGUUUCUCUGCAGUACACUCCUUACAUAUAUUUCUUUUUCAGAUUCUUUUCCCUUAUAGGUUAUUACAUAUAUCAUAUACUUCCAGUGCAAUAAGUAGGUCUUUGUGGUCUAUUUAUUUUAUAUAUAGUAGUUUGCAGCUGUUAAUUCCAAACUCCUAAUUGAUCCCUCAGCCCACUUCUCCCUUUGGUAACCAUAGGUUUGUUUUCUAUGUCUGUGAGUCUCUUUCUGCUUUGUAAAUAAGUUCGUUUAUAUCCUUUUUUAAGGUUCCACAUGUAAGUGAUAUCACAUAGUAUUUGUCUUUCUCUGUCUGACUUACUUCACUUAGUAUGAUGAUCUCUAGGCCCACCCAUGUUGCUUCUUAUCAUGUGACUCUCCGUACCUGCAGCUGCUGGGAGGCUUUGUGCCCCAGCUGUGUGGUUCUCCUUGCCAUGUGAAGGGAAGCUGUCUGACCUCAGUUCUAACGUUUCUGAUAGCAUGUCUGAUCUGAUCAUUACUGAGCACUCACUUUGUUGGGAGGAUUCAAUGCUUCGAUUAGGAUCUUAAAGAGUUCUUUUCCUGUGGCCAGAUUGGUUUCUCUCUGUGUCUUUGCCUGGUUUCUUCCUGUAGAGGAUUCUUGGAAGUCAGGGGAGGCUUGGCUAAAAGGAAGGUGCACUGCCCUGUGGGGUAGACAGUGGGGAAGGAAGAUUGCAGCCUCUGGUUUUCAACUUGCUUGUGAUGUAACUGGAACAAUAAUGUAAUUAGUAGAAAAGAUAAUGUUGGAUGUGUUUGAAAUAAAUUUUAAGCAAAACAUUAAAAGUGGUACAAAUUUCUCAUUUAGUAAAAUGAAUGACUAUUGAGUAUUGACAUCAAUAAAGCCACUCCUUGAACAUGAUAAAGCAUGGGCAUAGGUUUCUCACACUCUUUAUCUCUACAGCCUCUCUACAUCAGGUUAAAAUCUCUAAAUGAAUAAGUGUGGUUCUUCCAGGAAUAUCAUCUUCAGAAUAGGAAUAUAGUAUUUAAGAUUGUGUUCUUAAAAUCUCCACCCUUCAGAGAUCAAACACACUGGAAAGUGAUCCAGAAACACAUAACCUUCAGAGAUAAAAAUCAGAAUCAGUGUUUGAUAGAAGCACUGAUUGAACUUUGUGUACGUGGCUUCUAAAUAGUACAUUGAUUUAGAUACUCUUUUCUUACAGGGGAUGCUCUCUCAUCAAGUCUCAAUAAAUUAGUGUCUCCCUUUUUCUUUUAAAAUUUCGUUUUCAUUACAACUGAUUCUUGGCAUUUACAUACUCUCUUCAAGUGAAUACAAUUGAAAUGAGACUCACGAGUUUCUUUUCUAGACGAUACUAAAACUUCUCAGCAUUUAGAGGACCUGUAACCUUUCUUAAAUGGGCCCAUCUUCUGGCAUGAAAAAUAAUUCUUAGAUGUCACUUUAACUCCUAGUUUCAGUACAAAGACAGAUUGUCAGGGUAAUGAAUUAAAGGAACCUCACUGCAACUCUUCUGGUCAGUGCUGUAGCACAGCCCAUAUUAAUAUUUUAUUCCCUUUAAUAUUAGUACAUGAUGCAGGCUUUAUUUAAAUGGAUUUGACGGGUCUCUGGGUUGGCUUGACAACCAGAGGGAAAAAUUAAUGUUCUGCAUUUAAUCUCAGCUCAAGGCACUAAAUUAUUUUGGAGGUCAGAGCCAUCAUGCAUAUCAUGCUAAAUUAUUGUAUGUAAUAACUAUUAGCUAACUGUCUAUUUAUGGGCUUUUUAAAUUGUUUACUUCAUGCACCUUGAGCUAAUUUUUAAGAAACUAUCCCUUUUAAGUUCUUUCCCUUACAUGUGGACACUAUUAGCCCAGCCUUUGUGAUGGGACUAAUGGAAGAUGCUAGGUGGCCAACUCAAAAAUGAUGUCCCCCUUGUGAACUGUUAAUAAACUACAGAGAUCGCACCUCCUUUUGUUGGUUCCAUUUGCACAUGAAGUUCAAGUGUGUUGAGAGAAAUUGGGACUUUGUUGUAAGCUAAGAUAAAAAUCACAGAAUGCUCUCUAUGAAGAAAUUGAUGGUUAAAAGGAUAUAGUUGCUUAGGGAACUAGUGAACCUUAUUUUAAUCAUUAGAUGCUAACUAUUACAUUUCAUUUGGAUGGAUAUGUAGUGAGGUCCUGCUGUACCGAACAGGAAACUAUAUCCAAUUUCUUGGGAUAAACUAGGAUGGAAGAUAAUAUAAGAAAAAGAAUGUAUGUAUAUUAUGACUGGGUCACUUUGCAGAAAUUGGCACAACACUGUAAAUCAACUCUAUUUUAAUAAAAAAUAAAUUAAAAAAUAAUUGAAACAGGAUUGAAAAAGAAGUUGAAAAUAAUACUAUUAGAUUUUUAAAGAAAUAUUUUAAUGACAGAUCUGACAAGUGAAAUAUAAGAUAAUAUAUGUAUUAUUUAUGCUAUAAGUAAGUUCCAUAUACUUGUCCUUUGGUCUGACCUUAGUCUAAAGGUAGACAGGUAUCAAUGGUAUUUGUGGCCUAUGAGAGCCCUGUCUUUAUUUCCUGGGCAUUUCUGUAAUGAGAGCCUUAGAAGCCUGUACCUUCAGAGUUGGGUCUUGCACCUCUAGCUGCUAGGAGGGUGGUGGGGAGGUUGAAGAAGGCACGUACUCUCCUUGCACAGUUCUGCCUCCUCUGGAUUUGAUUUUAACCACAGCCAGCACUUUUGUAUGAGGCUGGCAGAGGUUAAGCACUUUUAACCACUUUACUUAAAGUAGCAUCAGUCAUGGCCAGUGGGCCAUGAGCACAGAAAGAGCUUCAGAAGAGAAGGUGAUUUUUCUUCCUGGUAAUGAAUGGUGAUAGGCCAGGAAACUUAUUGUACCUUCCAGACCUUAUCCAAGUCAGGGCAGUGAAUUUCCAUGAGGCUGACUGUUGAUAUAGCCUGGACCUCACUGAAGGGCUGAGACACCACGCCUCAGCCCAUCUUUCUUUCUGUCUUUCCCGUCUCACUUAUAAAUACUUCAUUCAUCUAAAUGAGAACUUUUUGGAAGACUGCUAGUCUGGAAAUAGCAGGUCUAUCUAGUGACUCUGGUAGCUCCUCGGUGACAUCUAGACCUACAAAUAGGCUACUGAGCAGGGAGGUUUGCUGCUUUGGGGAUGCCCGGCUUCCACCCUGCUCAGUAGCUUGAGGUCCACCAUGUGGCUGGAUGGGGAGCAGAGUAUGGUAACCGGACAGAGAGGGAUGGGAGGGAAGGAAAAAGCUUGAGGUUUCUUUCUGAUUGUUUUAUGGUCACACCCACAGCGUAUGGAAUUUCCCAGACCAAGGAUUGAAUUUGAGCUGUAGCUAUGCCCUGUGCUGCAGCUGCAGCAAUGCCAGACCCUUUAACCCACUGUGAUGGGCCCGAGAUUGAACCAGUGCCUCUACAGUGACCCUAGCUGCUGAAGUCAGAUUCUUAACUCACUGUGCCACAGUGGGAACUCUGAAAAGGCUUGAGUUUUAACCUCCCCUCCAGAAGUCUGGCUGGCUGGCAAUGAACAUCUAGGACCCAGGCUGGGCAUGGGUCUUUUGAUGGGACAAAAUUGGUAUUCUUUUCCUUAUCCUCAUCCAGUGACUCAACUAAUGCAAAAACAAAAUGAAACGAGACAAAAACCUCUU